UACGUAGGGGGCAAGCGUUGUCCGGAUUCAUUGGGCGUAAAGAGCUCGUAGGCGGUUCAGUAAGUCGGAUGUGAAAGCUCCGAGCUCAACUCGGAGAGGCCACCCGAUACUGCUGUGACUUGAGUCCAGUAGAGGAGCGUGGAACUCCUGGUGUAGCGGUGAAAUGCGCAGAUAUCAGGAAGAACACCUGCAGCGAAGGCGGCGCUCUGGGCUGGAACUGACGCUGAGGAGCGAAAGCGUGGGUAGCAAACAGG
rnacentral:rRNA from 1 species